UUCUCCUCUCUCCCUACCGUCUGCCUUCUCUCUCUCAUUCUCACAUUUGGAGAAAAAUCCCCAAAUCUAACCAUAACUCCUCCUUCUUUGCGAAAAGAAAAACAACCAUAACUCCUCCUUCCACCUCGGUGAAUUCACGGAGCCGCCGCUCUCAUCGCGUCUCCCGGAGGCGACCGUCGUCGCCGACGCCGCCUUCUCUCUACCGUCGGCUUACUCUCUCCUCCCUUUCCUUCCUAAAACGAAUGGAAGACUCUCCAAUUGGGGAACGUCGAACCCUAGGUGGGAGUCGAACGAGCGCCGUCGCGUUUCCCCCUCUCCGGCGAGUCGAUCUCUGGCCGUCGUUCACUGCCAUCCCUAGCCGAUGCCGCGGCUGUGAGGCCGUCUUCCUCGCCGUCCCGGUGCCAUCGGAGCAGGAAAGAGGAGCAUCGCCGUCGAGCUUGACCUCUGACCACGCUGUCUUCUUCAGCACAGCAUGCCCAGCUGCCUCAUGGCAGCUUUCGUACUCCGUCGUCCCUCGAUCUCACUCGAAGCUAAGUUCCCUAAUCUUUUGUCGUUUGGUGUAGAAUUUCCUUAUCCCUAAAUUAUGCUAUUUUUAGGAUGUCUAAGUUGUAGGUUCAGUCGGGAAAAUUCGACCGUUUGAGCUCGAUUGCAGUGAUUUUACUAUACGCCUACAUUCGGGUUAUGAUUUAGCAUGCCUUCAACAAGAUUUAGGCGAUGGCUUGUGAGGAUAGUAUCAUAUGGUGUUGCUACUGUUUUACUUGUUCAUCUAGUGUUAUUAUCAUGCUUAAGUUCUGAAACGAUGGGGUCUUUGCAUGCUUGAGAUUUACAUGAUGAUAUGAUACUUAAAUUGAGCUUGAAACGGAGGUGGGGUUACCUUCUCUUGCACUGUUUCUGCUCCCCACUCCUAGCUUCAAUCUCUCUCACUCUCCAACUUGAUAACGUGCUUGCUGAGUAUGUUGUGGUAGAAGGGGUGAGGCUAAGGGGACUAUACUAUAUAUAUAAGGGUUUGUGUAACUGAAAGCCUGCAAGGCUGGUUGUUUGUGCAGAAAAAGGGUCCCUAGGUUGAUUGUUCAUUGGCUGAUUGCAAUAAGGCAGGGCAUGUACUCGUGAGAAAUAAAUGCAAUUCCAUCCUCAUUUGUUACUCUACUGCAGUGGCCUCAGUCUCUCUGUGUCUUGCAACGUUCUCAUUGAGUUUUUAUGCGGCUUUUUGCAGGUGUACAACUCUGCAAUGUGGUUAACUGAUCCCUGCGGCUGGAUCUCUGCAGAGCUGCUGUGGCUGUGGAUUUUCCUUGGCUUGUAGCAGCUGGGUAUGGACUGUGGAGCGCAGGAAAUGCAGCCCUCCAUACUCCUAAAUUUGGUAACUUUUGGUCUUCAUCAAGGAAAGAGGGCUGAUCACAUCCGGCUGUCAACUGGAUGCCCCGGGCCCAACGGCCGUCGACAAUCGGGCCGAAAACCGGGCCUAAGGAAGGGCCGAAGCUUAGCAAAUUCUAAAUUGUAGUAGGGUAGUGUUUUUCCAAGCUUUCUUUUCCUUCAACAUGUACGAAACGUUUUAUAAAGUUAGAAUGUAUUAUUUUUCCUUCAUUUUCAUUGUCACCCAUUUGUAAGUUAAGACAUAGUUCGUAAAGUAACAUGUAUUUUAUUUACUUAAGGAAUAAACGGACACAUUCCCAUUUUUA